rnacentral:rRNA from 1 species
CAGUAGCGUAUAUACACGUUGUUGCAGUUAAAAAGCUCGUAGUUGGAUUUCUGGUUUGGAGUGCCUGGCCCGCCACAUCAAGUGUGCGAGUGCCGGAGCGUUCUAGCCAUCCUUCUAGAAAGCGUCUGCCCUUCACUGGGUUGGACUGCGAUCUAGAUCUUUUACUUUGAACAAAACGAAGCGCUCAAAGCAGGCCACUGCCUUGAACGAUUUAGCAUGGAAUAAUAAUCUAGGACUCCGGUUCUAUUUUGUUGGUUUCUAGGACUGAAGUAAUGAUUGAUAGGGACAGUUGGGGGUGCUAGUAUUCAGUGGCCAGAGGUGAAAUUCCUGGACUCGCUGAAGACUGACCGAUGCGAAAGCGUUCACCAAAGAUGUCUCCUUUAA